GCGAUAUGUUUUUUAUUUGUUCCAAAUUUCUGGUCCCAUAAUUUCAUUAAUUCUAACACACAUUCAAAAUAUAUACUAUCAUACUGCAACUACUUUUUAUAACUAAUUUAUUUUUUACAAUUCAUUGAAAUAUCUAAUUGGACAGUGUAUCUUGUACUUCAAAUGUUAAUCUCAAUAUAGCAUUAUAUAAAGCAACCCACAAUAUUUUUUCCCUCCAUAACUUAAAACAUGAUCCUUCCGUAGAACAUGAGUUAUCUCCCCUAGUUUUUCAUUAAACUGUAUAUUUCAGUGCAAAUAAUUGAAGAGUAAAUGUUUAUGCUAAGCAAACUCCUAAAGUUCUUUCCAUUUUGUAAAACCUUCCAAUGAUAUAAAUAACAUAAGAGGUUAAUGAGGAUUUGCAUACAACCUUAAUCAAUGAUAAAUACUGCACACCCGGUUAAAGAUCUGACUUAAAAUAGUAUCAGUAGAGUAGCUUCAGAGAAGUUGAAGAGAGAUUUAACAGAAAUUCAAAAUUAAUAGUGAUCCAUGUGUUAUAUAGACAACUAAUCUUUUAGAAAAGGGAAACAAAUGAAAAAG
rnacentral:lncRNA from 1 species